UCCGGUUGAUCCUACCGGACCCGACUGCUAUCGGAGUGAGAUUAAGCCAUGCGAGUCUAAUGCCUCUGGACUGCUGGAGGCAUGGCGUACGGCUCAGUAGCACGUGGCCAACCUGCCCUUAAGACAUGAAUAACCCCGGGAAACUGGGACUAAAUCGUGAUAGGCGCGGAUCUCUGGAAUUGAAUCCGUGCUUAAAGGGGUGAAUGAGCAUGUUUUGUUCAUCUGCUUAAGGAUGGGGCUACGGCCGAUCAGGCUGUUGGCGGGGUAACGGCCCACCAAACCUUUGACAGGUACGGGCUUUGAGAGAAGGAGCCCGGAGAUGGACACUGAGAUAAGGGUCCAGGCCCUAUGGGGCGCAGCAGGCGCGAAACCUCCACAAUGAGCGAAAGCUUGAUGGGGUUACUCCGAGUGUUGUCCGCUAAGGAUGACUUUUCUUAAGUCUAAAUCGCUUGAGGAAUAAGGGGAGGGCAAGUCUGGUGUCAGCCGCCGCGGUAAUACCAGCUCCCCGAGUGGUCGGGACGGUUAUUUGGCCUAAAGCAUCCGUAGCCCGUCCUGCAAGUCUUCCGUUAAAUCUAACGGCUCAACCGUUAGGCUGCGAAAGAUACCGCAGGACUAGGGGACGGGAGAGGCGGACGGUACUCCGGGGGUAGGGGUAAAAUCCUCUGAUCCUCGGAAGACCACCAGCGGCGAAGGCGGUCCGCCAGAACGUGCCCGACGGUGAGGGAUGAAAGCUGGGGGAGCGAACCGGAUUAGAUACCCGGGUAGUCCCAGCCGUAAACGAUGCGAGCUAGGUGACAGAAUGACCUAAGGGCCAUUCUGCUGCCGCAGGGAAGCCGUUAAGCUCGCCGCCUGGGGAGUACGGACGCAAGUCUGAAACUUAAAGGAAUUGGCGGGGGAGCACCACAAGGGGUGAAGCCUGCGGUUCAAUUGGACAACGCCGGAAAUCUUACCAGGGGAGACAGCAGAAUGAAGGUCAAGCUGAAGACCUUACCAGACGAGCUGAGAGGAGGUGCAUGGCCGUCGCCAGCUCGUGCCGUGAGGUGUCCUGUUAAGUCAGGCAACGAGCGAGACCCUUGCCACUAGUUGCUAUUCUUUCUCGCAAGGGAAAGGAAGGAAGUUAGUGGGACUGCCGCCGUUCAAGGCGGAGGAAGGGGAGGGCUACGGCAGGUCAGUAUGCCCCGAAACCCCUGGGCCACACGCGGGCUGCAAUGGUAGGGACAGAGGGCAUCCAACUCCGAAAGGAGAAGGCAAACCCUAAACCCUAUCCCAGUUGUGAUUGAGGGUUGCAACCCACCCUCAUGAAUAUGGAAUCCCUAGUAACCGCGUGUCACUACCGCGCGGUGAAUACGUCCCUGCUCCUUGCACACACCGCCCGUCGCUUCACCCGAGUUAGGCUUUGAUGAGGUCGCUUCAUGUUGGGGUUAUCGAACCACAGCCUGACAAGGGGGGAG
rnacentral:rRNA from 1 species